rnacentral:lncRNA from 1 species
UCAGUCGUCUGGACUUCCUGAAAGUCGUCUGGACUUCCUGGAAGUCAUCUGGACUUCCUGGAAGUCGUCUGGACUUCCUGGAAGUCGUCUGGACUUCCUAGAAGUCGUCUGGAUUUUCUGGAAGUCUUCUGACAAAGUUUUCUUCCAUAUCAAGUGGAGUCCAAGCUUGUCUUUAUAGAAGACUGAUCUAUAAUAGUUUUGUUUGUGAUCUGUUUUGUGAAUUGCAUGUCUACUCUUUUAGUUGUGAAUUUUUUUGUAAAAUCAGUAAUAAUGUUUCCCA